CCUACGGGUGGCAGCAGUGAGGAAUAUUGGUCAAUGGCCGGAAGGCUGAACCAGCCAUGCCGCGUGAAGGUCAGUGCCCUAUGGGCGUUAAACUUCUUUUGUGCGGGAGCAAUAAUGGUCACGUGUGGCCAGACGAGAGUACCGUAAGAAUAAGCAUCGGCUAACUCCGUGCCAGCAGCCGCGGUAAUACGGGGGAUGCAAGCGUUAUACGGAUUUAUUGGGUUUAAAGGGUGCGUAGGCUGUGAGGUAAGUCAGCGGGGAAAUGCCCCCGCUCAACGGGGUGAAGUGCCAUUGAUACUGCCUUGCUGGAAUGCGGAUGCCGUGGGAGGAAUGUGUGGUGUAGCGGUGAAAUGCAUAGAUAGCACACAGAACACCGAUUGCGAAGGCAUCUCACGAAUCCGCGAUUGACGCUGAUGCACGAAAGCGUGGGUAUCAAACAGGAUUAGAUACCCUUGUAGUC
rnacentral:rRNA from 1 species